ACGAGGCAUGCGUGUGAGUGUAUUUGAGAGACGGGAUGUGCGAGGCGGCGGCGGUGGUGGUGCUGCGUCUGGGUAGCAGGCGUCGGGCGGUUUCGGCGUGCACAUAGAAACGAGUGAGCAACACGCGAGAGGUGCUUAAGAGAGAAUCUAAACAGGGUGUGUUCACGUAUGGCACACGACUCACAUAACAAACAGGUAGACGAAGAAACAACGUAAAAGCGAGCACAUAAGUGGCAGCACAGUUAAUGUCACCCACCUCCCUCCGGAGCCCGCUCCCCUCGCUACCCCCGCCGCGCUUCUCUUUCCUUCUUGGGCCGUAUCACCUCUGCUACUCAGCGAGCCAUUUCGUGCGCGUGUGCAUGGGAGGCGGGUACGACGAAGGAGGGGUGGGGGUGGGGGUGGGUGGACGACCCCGGCUGCCCUCUCACAGAAACAAUAGGCGAAGCACAGACGCUUGCGCACGCACGCAGAGAGAAGGAGAGGGAGACGGUGCCUUUUUCCCUUCCUCCUCUUAGCAGGGAAACGCAUCUGCACACCCCGCACUCGGAGACCAGCUCAGGAAGCACACCGCCAACGCGGAGGAACGAAGGCUUCUCGUAGUACGGCUCCUAUGGCGUCUGCGAUAGGCACAGGGCGACCCUCCACACACCUUUUACACCGACAGGCACACAUAGGCAUGUAGAUGAUCCAAGGGCGAGAACGAAAAUAUAUAGCAGAGGCAAAAGCACGCACACACACGCACAGCGCCUUUCUCCCCCUUCGCUUCCCCUUCCCCUCUUUCCACACCAUCCGCCGCUGCAG
rnacentral:misc_RNA from 1 species